rnacentral:rRNA from 1 species
AUGACUCAACUUGAUGAUGAUCAACACAUAGAGAUGGAGGAAGUGGGCACUAGUCAUAUGGCCACUCUUAGCACAAUUGUAUCGGCUGAAUGUUCUGGUUCACAACCAUCUUCCAAGGAGCAAGUUCGUGGUUUAGAACCAACUUCUCAAGAGCAAUCUGCCAUUGGGGUCGUUGAUUUGGAGAAUGAGAAGGAUAGUAACAAAGGUCAGGGAAGGAGGGAGAUGGCACCACGAUCAAAGACGUGGGACCAUUUCGACAAGAUUAAGGAUAAGAAUAAUGUGGUGAAGGCUGGUAAAUGCAAAUAUUGCAAACGUGAAUUGAAGGCCGACACAAAGGAUCAUGGUACUUCAUCCUUGAUCAGACAUUUUGAUGUGUGCAAGCGCAACCCUCACAAGCUGGCCAAAGAUCCGUAG